rnacentral:rRNA from 1 species
CCUACGGGAGGCAGCAGUAAGGAAUAUUGGUCAAUGGACGAAAGUCUGAACCAGCCAUGCCGCGUGAAGGAUGAAGGCCCUCUGGGUUGUAAACUUCUUUUAUAGGGGACGAAAAAAGGGCAUUCUUGCUCACUUGACGGUACCCUAGGAAUAAGCACCGGCUAACUCCGUGCCAGCAGCCGCGGUAAUACGGAGGGUGCAAGCGUUAUCCGGAUUUACUGGGUUUAAAGGGUGCGUAGGUGGGUUGGUAAGUCAGCGGUGAAAUCUUCGAGCUUAACUCGGAAACUGCCAUUGAUACUAUCAAUCUUGAAUCAUCUAGAGGUAAGCGGAAUAUGUCAUGUAGCGGUGAAAUGCUUAGAUAUGACAUAGAACACCAAUUGCGAAGGCAGCUUACUAUGGAUGUAUUGACACUGAGGCACGAAAGCGUGGGGAUCAAACAGGAUUAGAUACCCUGGUAGUCCACGCCCUAAACUAUGGAUACUCGACAUUUGCGAUAUACUGUAAGUGUCUGNGNGAGANAUAGUAUCCACCGNGGAGUAAGUAGUGNGAGAGUUAGUUAACGUACGAAGGAAGUUAGACGGCGUUGAGACGNGCGACGGACGACGACGAGGGAGGAGG